rnacentral:rRNA from 1 species
AGCUUAUUCCUGAUGCUGAGCGCGAAAGCUGGGGGAGCGAACAGGAUUAGAUACCCUGGUAGUCCCAGCCGUAAACGAUGCAUACUUGAUGUCGACGGAAUCAACCCCGUCGGUGUCGUAGCUAACGCGAUAAGUAUGCCGCCUGGGAGUACACUCGCAAGGGUGAAACUCAAAAGAAUUGACGGGGGCCCGCACAAGCAGUGGAGCAUGUGGUUUAAUUCGAUGCAACGCGAAGAACCUUACCUGGACUUGACAUGUAGUGGACAGGUGCAGAAAUGCACUUUUCUUCGGACCGCUAUACAGGUGCUGCAUGGCUGUCGUCAGCUCGUGCCGUGAGGUGUUGGGUUAAGUCCCGCAACGAGCGCAACCCUUAUCAUUAGUUGCCAGCGAGUAAUGUCGGGAACUCUAAUGAGACUGCCUAGGUUAACUAGGAGGAAGGUGAGGAUGACGUCAAGUCAGCAUGGCCCUUACGUCCACGGCUACACACGUGCUACAAUGGUCGGUACAAUAGGCAGCGAAGCCGCGAGGUGAAGCAAAUCCAAAAAGCCGAUCUCAGUUCGGAUUGUAGUCUGCAACUCGACUACAUGAAGCUGGAAUUGCUAGUAACGGCGUGUCAGCAAUAACGCCGUGAAUACGUUCCCGGGCCUUGUACACACCGCCCGUCACAUCAUGGGAGUUGGUUUUACCCGAAGUCACUGACUCAACCGCAAGGGGAGAGGUGCCUAAGGUGAGGCCGAUGACUGGGAUGAAGUCGUAACAAGGUAA